AACGAACGCUGGCGGCAUGCCUAACACAUGCAAGUCGAACGAGACCUUCGGGUCUAGUGGCUCACGGGUGCGUAACGCGUGGGAACCUGCCCUUAGGUUCGGAAUAACUCCCCGAAAGGGGUGCUAAUACCGGAUAAUGUCUUCGGACCAAAGAUUUAUCGCCUUUGGAUGGGCCCGCGUUGGAUUAGCUAGUUGGUAGGGUAAAAGCCUACCAAGGCGACGAUCCAUAGCUGGUUUGAGAGGAUGAUCAGCCACACUGGGACUGAGACACGGCCCAGACUCCUACGGGAGGCAGCAGUGGGGAAUAUUGGACAAUGGGCGAAAGCCUGAUCCAGCAAUGCCGGGUGAGUGAUGAAGGCCUUAGGGUUGUAAAGCGCUUUUACCCGGGAUGAUAAUGACAGUACCGGGAGAAUAAGCUCCGGCUAACUCCGUG
rnacentral:rRNA from 1 species